rnacentral:lncRNA from 1 species
AUUAAUGUUGUUCACCUAAUUCCCAGGCGCUUAGACGUCAGAUAGUCAAACGGCGACGUCUAAGGCCUGUCUGGAAGGCGGGAAGACAAAAAUUCUUCAAUUUAGAUGUCGGUUCUGAACGUAAGCGACGUCUACGUUCCUGUAAUUGAUUAUUUUCACCAAAUUCGAGGGUUUUAGAUGUCGGCUAGGAGGGGCACUGACGUGAACUACCCUGACAGGAAAUCAAACGUCAAUCUUUUCAGCUUCUUUGACGUAGAAUAGAUGUCGAAUCUCCUGAAACACCGACGUCUAUAGACAUCGAUUUCUGGAGCAACCGACGCCCCAUUUCAUUUUAAAUAGACCACAGACUCUUAUCGCCAUUCAAUUUCUAACCGCGUCUUCAUCUCUUCUCCUUUUUCUCUGCUUCUCCUCUUUUUUUACUCGCUUGCACACCUCUACUUUUUAUCUCUUGCGGCAUUGCAUUGUGGUUUCUCAUAACGUCAUUGUCUUCGUCCUCUCCUUUUUCUCUCUUGCAUCCCAGGUGCGUGGUUUAUUUUUAUGCUUUACCGUUUAAACUUUCUUUAGUUUUUUAUCGAUUAUCUUGUCGUUCAACUGAUUAAAAUUUGCUUUCUUUAUGUUGUGUUAAAGUGCAGUUUUGAUCCUUUCUUUGG